AGCCUGUGACAUCCCCGGAGGGCACUGCCUGACUAAAUUAGCAUGAGAUAACUCUGGACUCUCUUCCAAACAUGAAAAUACAAGGGAGAGAAUUUCAUUAAAAGCAGAAGACUAGGUGAUCCAAGUUAAUCCCCGCCCUAAGCCGCUGUAGACAUGCUCAGUGUUUGUGUUCGACUCUCCUCUCCGCAACAGGGUUCACCGGCUCCACUGCCAGCGACGCGAAGGGCCCAACCUGACCUCAGCUGACCAAAUCUCUGUUGCAUAAUAAAGCCUCACAACAAUGACUGACACCAACUGAAUACGUAGCGGAUGAUGGCCAAUCCAUCCUAUAUUUAUGGAGACAGAAGGCACUCUACCCUUAAGAAGCACCCACAGCAACAGAAGCCUGUGUUUAGUCACUUCUCAGCUGAAAUACAAGCCACAUUCAGACCGAAGCAAUGCACAUAUGAAUACAGGAAACGGUGAUGGAAUGGACUGGCGUCCUCCCUGCCCUUUUUUAAAUCUACCAUGGGCAUUUUCAGGAUGGCUGGUGUGACUCAGUGAAAUCUGUGGCCAUAGAACUGUGCUGUUAAUUAGGAAAUGGGAAGACUGAAGCCCAAGCUUCAACCUCGCUAGUUUUAAGCUCUAACAAACCAAAAUCAAUUAACUCAGACAUAAAAUGUGGACAGCCUUUAAGUCACACAGAGGUUAAAUCUAACUUUCUGGUGAUUUUGAUGUUUUGUUAUGAAUGCUGAAUAAAAUUUUAAGAGAU